ensembl:lncRNA
CAUUCACUUCACACACUCAUUGAGUAAAUUUAGAGGAUUGUCUAAAAUAUUGCGCUGAUCUCUGGCUCACCUGUGAAUUAGCAAACACCAGACUGUGCUGCAGCCUCAGCCGAAUAUUUGGGCAGAAUUAUUUGUUAUCUGUUACUCGUUUCUGAAGCCAUUAGCCGUGCCUCUCUGAAUAAGGUAUUCGGCUUCGGGUACACCCCUAGUCUCUACAGAGAAAAUGUUCAGGAAACAAUCCACAGUAAAUUGUUUUUAAUGUGUGCAUUACUUAGCUGUACCACUAGGGGGCAGGGCAAACUCACUUGUGAUAAAAUUUCGUGUCCUCAUGAUAUUUGGGAUUUCAUGGAAAUAUUAAACACACACACACACACAGUGGUGAGGCUGAAGUUGUUUUUUAUUUAAUUUAAUUUAAUUUAUUUUUGGACAACGACUGUGGUGAAACCAUGCUAGAUUUUGUGUACAAUUUAAAUACAUGAAAAUGUAAUCAUUCAUUUCUACAGUCUCAUGGAGUACCAUGAUACAUCUGAUAUUAUGUCUCAUCUUCCACAGCACUUUCAGUGUAAGGGUAAAAAAGUCCUGAAGUACUGUAUACACUCAGCGAACAUAGCUUUGCCGUAGUAACAGAUAAAUUUAGUCCUGUGACAAAACAGAAAUGUAUGCAGUCUCCCCCAGGUAAAACCCAGGAAGUGUAAGUUCUGUCAUAUGAAAAGAAAAAUGAAUAUGCACAUUCUCCCAAAGCUAAGCACUGUUCUGCACAGUUUACAUAGAAACAACAAACAAACAAAUUUUGAAUAAAUAUGCUUAAAUAUUGCCUUUCCCCUUAAUAGUUUUGCCGUAGGCACCUAUAUUUGACUUCAGUUUAAAGUACACUUUGUGUUUACAGGUCCUGGUGGGGUUUACCCCUAUGGCUAUGGUAAAUUUUAUUAGUCCAUCAUUAAAAACAAAAACACAUUAAAGACUGACCAAAGUCAAAAUCAUGCUGAAUGUUUCUUCCUCCUUCUGUUUUAGGCCCAUUUUCUGGAAGCACUGGGAUUGGAACUGGAGUGUUACCAGGAGCCAAACCUCUAAAAGCCCCUGGUGUUGGAGGAGCAGGCAGUGUCGCUGGUGUAGGGGGAGUUGGAGGGGCAGGGGCUUUUCCUGGACUCGUACCUGGAGCAGGUAAGAUGCCAUGCAAAUCCACAUUACUUGAUACUUGAUCAUUUAGCAGUGUUCCUGUAGUUUAAAAAUUAGUGCAUGGAACUAACAAUACUAAGCUCCUGGGUUCCCAGGGAAUACAUGAACUGAUAAAAUGCAUGUUUUUAAAGCAAUACAGUAUAUAUCACUUUGAAUAAAGAGAAUUUAGUAGGCA